GACGAACGCUGGCGGCGUGCUUAACACAUGCAAGUCGAGCGGUAAGGCCCUUUCGGGGGUACACGAGCGGCGAACGGGUGAGUAACACGUGGGUGACCUGCCCUCAGCUCUGGGAUAAGCCUGGGAAACCGGGUCUAAUACUGGAUAUGACUCCAUGACGCAUGUUGUGGGGUGGAAAGCCUUGUGCGGCUGAGGAUGGGCCCGCGGCCUAUCAGCUUGUUGGUGGGGUGANGGCCUACCAAGGCGACGACGGGUAGCCGGCCUGAGAGGGCGACCGGCCACACUGGGACUGAGACACGGCCCAGACUCCUACGGGAGGCAGCAGUGGGGAAUCUUGCGC
rnacentral:rRNA from 1 species